rnacentral:sRNA from 1 species
AUAGAUAGAUCGGCCCCACUAUUACUCUUUGCUCUUUUCUUAAGUGAGGGGGUAUCAAAGGCUAAACCCAUGUUUUCCCUUUGCGGGUGAGAUGGCGGCAAAUGGGUGGGAAUUGAGAACAGUGUGGAAGAUAAGGGUUGAAGCCAAGCUCUCUAUCCCACCCCUGCAAAAAGACAGCCGGCCAAGCAGGACAGCCACCUCUCCUAGCCUGUUUCUAUCUUCUAAGUCAUGUCUACUCCCUUAUUAACAAGGCCCCAGCACAAUGCUAGACAACCCCCCCACCUCUUCUAGCCCCUCUCCUUCAGAUGCCUAUACAUUGUCCAGGACUGCAGGACCAGACCCUGGCCUCCCUGUCUCUUUCCUCUUUCCCUUUCAUCCCUAAUUCUUUUUUUCCUUAAUAAGAUUUUUACCUUAAUUUGUGUAAAGGUUAAUGCUGUCUUCUGAAGAUUAUAGAUUAUAAUUAUAAAAAUGACAGAUGAAAUCCUCCCUCCCUUGAAAUCUCUCAGACCUUCAGGCCUUCUGUGUGACCCUCCCAGAGAUUGGUGAUUGGUGAUUGGUGUGUGUGUGUGUGUGUGUGUGUGUGUGUGUGUGUGUGUGUGUGUGUGUGCAUGAGCGCUCGUGCUCAUGUGUGUUUGAUGGGAGGCACAGGUGUAGAUCCCAGAGGUCAACAUCCAGUUCUUCAUUGCCAUUCACUUGAUGCGGUUUUGUUGCUGGUUUGGAUUGGGUUUUGGUUUGGUUGUUUCGUUUUAUUUUUAUGGAGUCUCUCCCCAGCCUGAACUUGCUGAGUAGGCUAUGCUGCAUGGCCAGAGAACUCCAGGAAUCUGCCUGACUCCACUUCACCAGAGCUGAGAUCACAAACACGUGUUGCUAAGUAUUUCUAUCUUUUUAUUGAAUUUCUAUAUUUAGUAUAUUUUAGCACCACAGUGCUCCUGUGGAGGAGGUCAGAGGACAACCUGAAGGAGUCAGUUUUCUCUACCAUGUGGAUCCCAGACAUGAAACUCAGGUGGUUUGACUUGAUGGCAGUGCCUUUACCUGCGGAACCACCUCUCUCGAUCGCCCGCAUCCAGCCUUUUGUUCCCUGCUUGUCUUUGUCUUUCAUCGGGAAGCCAAGAAACAGAUGUGCCACUGGUCGUAGCUUGGUCAUAAACACUGUUGAGGAUGUGCACAACCCUGGGUGUGAUCCUUGGCACUGUGUAAACAAAGGCAGCCUGUCCUGGUUUCUAGAACAGACACAGCACCCGCACCCUCCAGGGGGAGAGCCAUUCAUUUCUGCUGACACCAGCAUGUUCUGAGAGACUUGAACAUCCCUUCAGAAGACCCGAGAAAAGCAGUUCAACUCUGCGUUGUGGAGUGGAGUCCCCUUCCAGGCCUGUUCAGCCUAACUCUGCAGCGUGUUCUAAAGAAGAAGGGAGUGCUGAUAAGCCACGGAAAAGAGGAAGAGAAUAUGAUGAGGUGGCAUGAGGAGCUUUCUUACUCAACCAAGUAUGAAGGAACAUGCUUCGUCAGAUUGUCACGGAUUGACAAAGGACUUUCUCCUCAAGCGAGGAAAAGAAAAUGGCUGCCACAGGGCUUCCCGCCUUUGUGCAGGGACCUCCGCGAACCUCCAUAGCUGCAGAGUAAUUGGGUUACUCAUAUAGGAUGGGUGUUUUGAGGUAAGGCAGGAAGACGUUAUAUGAUUGGUCAGAGCACAUUCAGCACAAAGUCAGACUCAUGGCCUCAGGCCAGGCUCCGACAUCUUCCUGCCUGUUGCGGAUGUCCUAAGUCCAGGAAGCCAGCAAGCCCGGGCUCAAAAAAAAGAGAAGACAGCUUUUGGCCACACCCAAGAGCAGUUUUUGGUCAAGCAUUCCUGGCAACUUGCACCACCGCAACAUGCCCACACCCUGAUAGCUGAUAGACAAGACGGUAGGUUCAUUAAGGCUGGCUCAAGUGUGGUUUGGGGGCAUACAGAGGGCUCCUUUCUAAAAAUAGUUCACUCCCAUUUCCUGCUGUAGAAGGCUUACUCCAUUGGAUUGGGGCUAUAUAGUCUCAAUAGCUCUGAUUUUAAAAUUCAGGGCCACUAUGUGUGGAAUAUACUCAGGCUCUACCCACUGUAGUACCCUGACUUGGCAUUUAUUUAUAGCCUUCUCCAAAUUCAAAAAAGGAUUUAACAUUAUCUCAUAUUUAUUUCUCACAUAACGGGAAACAAUCAUUCUGGCAAAUUCUGAGAGUUUCUAGGGAGAACUUGGACUCUGCCUUGGACAUUUCACUUUUCUACACAAAUACUCCAACAGCAUCCUGACUCGUUGCACUUUAAAAGGAAUCCAAACCUGGCAUCGUUCCAGGCCCUGCCUGCUUAGGCCCUAGUCCUGCUCAUCACUCUCAACACACACCAUCUUGUUCUCUGCCUCCUUCUACCUCACCAUGAUGACUGUUAGUUAUUUUGUGUUGCUGCGAUAAAAAUGCCACGGUGAAACUUGCAGAAGAAUUUAUUUCAGCUUAUAUUUUCAGAGAGGUAAGAGUCCACCAUAGUGGCAGGAACAGGAAGCUGAGAGAUCUCAAUGAAACAAAAGAAGCAAAGACAGCAAACUGGUAACCUGGAGUUGUGAGCUUUCAAAGCCUAACCCCCAUCUGAUAUAAUUCCAACUGCAAAGCCACACACCCUAAAUGUUCUACAACUUCCCAAACAGUUCCACCGAUUGG